UCUCUCUUGUCUAUCUGAAAUCAGAGUUAUCCAUCUCUUCUGGUUUCAAUCUCUGUAAGACCGAAUCGAUCUCUCUUGUCUAUCUGAAAUCAGAGUUAUCCAUCUCUUCUUCACGGUGUUCUUCCUGUAAGGAGUCCUUGAAAGCAACGAUUGAGAGUGUAUUUCACUGACUGAUAUUCCCCAAAUUUGUAACAGGGGAUUUCAAAUAUGAGUUCCAUUGUUUCGAAUCUAAUUCAAAACCAUGGAGCAGAUAAAAAAAAAUUUGACUUGAAAGUUCUCUCUCUCUCUCUCUCCCAUUUCACAAAGAAACAGAGUAAGUAGUAUUUUCUUCGUAUUUUUUGCGAAGCUCUGAAUCGCGAGACCACAAAAUCGAACGAAGACAGGUCUCCAUUGGCCGUCGAAUCUGCAAGGCAAAACCCUAGAUCUGAGUUGAUCUGUUUUCGAUCGGCCUCAGCAUUCUGAAUAUUGGAUCCAUUGGAUCGGAGACCAUGCCAGUGGCUGCUUCCGCCAUAUGCUUCUUGAAUCUCCACGGCGAUGUCCUCAUCAAUCGUCUCUACUGCGACGACGUUGGGGGCAAUGUUGUGCAAGUCAACAGUUGGGUCGCUACGUCUGGAAAGAAUGGUAUGUGGGGUGAUUGGAUUGUCCAUGACUGCAAAACAGGGGACAUUCUAACAAGAGCUUCCAGGUAGGAGCUUAUUUAAACAAAUCUCAUGACUUUUAUAUGGAUGUCAUAAGUUAUGCGAGAUUCACGUAUAGCCACAAUAUCCUUUCAUGAACACUAUAUCAGCAUGUUUAUUGCCUUGGUGCAUAUAUUAUUCUGUUAUAUUUGAACAAAUAAAAUUACAAGAUAUUGUUGAAUAUAUGUAAACUAGUUUAAAGUGAACAAUAUCUGACCUUCACAUCCCUCCUGAUAAUAUCCGUAAGACUGGUUUGGAUUAGGUAGAUAUCCCCCGGAGCAUGGUAAGCCAUGGAUUUUUAGUGUCAAGAAUAACAUAUUCUGAAACUUAGAUUAAAUUACUUAUUGACUGACCAGACUUUUUAUUAUUAUUUAUUAUUAUGGUGACUUUGGUUGGUUGCAGUGUCUGAGUGAUGAUGAAUAAAGAGACACAUAGGUUAUCUAAGAUACCAGAUGAAGUUAGAGUGGAAAUAGGUCUUUAUUUUGUGGAUUCACCUCCUGUUCUGGACGAGGACAGCAGAAAAUUACCAAAGCUUAAUGAAAACACCAUAGAUUAUAUUCGUAUUGGUUUAACUGUAAGUUAAAGAAUUUGAUGGUCAUGAUUAUUUGCCUCUGUUAUGCAGCAUAUGACUGCUUUGUGCUGCUCGAACUUUGGUUUGUUGAUAUGAUUUGUGCAUUUUGAAUUGAUCAACCUAAACGGAGUGAUUUAGAUGUCAACCUGCAUGUUAAUAAUGUGAAAUACGUUGGCUGGAUUGUUGAGAUUAGGAACGAAAAACGGACCUUGGAAAUUGGUUUGGUUGGAGAUAGAGCAGGAAAAUGCCUGUAACUCGUGCAUAAGUUCCAAGUUCCAUAUUUUCCCCCUCUGUGCAUAAUGAUGAAUUCAAACAUAAUUUCAUGAUGGGGUAACUGUUUAUGCUAUGGAGAUUCACAGGGGCACACACCAUAGGGAUUUCUCACUGUACAAGCUUCACCAUAGGGAUUUCUUCUAGCUAUUGCCGCGGGUUUAGGUGCCUUAAUACAUACAUUGGGUAGUCUUGUCCCUAUGAUAGGAGUAAGUGGAUUUGCUACAGCUGCAACUGUAACUGCAACUGCUAUAGGAACUGUUGUCGGUAGUUUUAGAUAAUCUCUUAAUAGUUGUCGAUAUGUUUAGAAAGUUAGAUAUGCAUAGUUUUGGAUGAUUUAAACUUUUUGUACAGUUUAGAACUUAAGAAUAUAGUUUUCGAAUGCUUGGAAUGUAUAGACAAUUGUUGAAUGUUCAUAAUUUAUGGAUAUAGUUUCUUUUUGAUGUUUCAAACAAUA